rnacentral:lncRNA from 1 species
GGUUUAAUAGUACAGAUGGGACUCUGCUGGCAAUGAAUGAAUGAAAGGAGCUGACAUAGAUUCUCCUUCUGUCAAGACUUCUAGCGACACCCCAUUAUCAAUCAGCUGAACUUCAGGGAAUCCCCUGAGCAUCCUUGGGGAAUGGGGCCGUGUUGGUCCUUCGAAGCCAUGGACUGAGGCUCUUUUGCCAUGUUCUGCAGAACUCUCUUCCCUUUUCCAGAAAAGGAAAGCUUCUGUCCUCUGGUUUGGAGACAGCCUUAGCACAGCAAAUCAGUGCACUGCUGUAUUGUUUGCUCUGCCGGCAGCCUGAAACAAUACAACACCAACAGAUGUGUGAACUUUUCCAUUCAUUGUAAUGAAGUGUUAGUUGCAAAACAGAGUUUUGGCGAUUUAAAUUGCCUCGUAUGCAUCAGACUGUGAAAGAGGUUUAAAAUAAAUCAUGAAUAAGUUAUAAAUAUUGUAUUUUUGGAAUUAUCAGCUCUAACAAGUCCACUGGCAAUAGAAAGUGAAGACUUAGGCAGAAUGAGGCCUGAUGUCUCUCAUUAAAGUUACCACCAGUGUUUCAAGAUGAAAUUAUAGCAUUGUGGUGAUGUAGCUCUGAUUCCAUAGAAAAGGCUGAGAAGACAUUUUCAAAUUUUUAAAACUUGAAAAAAAAAAAAAAAAAGAGAGAGAGAGAAUGGGAGAGAAGAGAAGGCUUCUGGUUGAAAAGUAUCAUCCAUGUUCUGCCAAGGAAGAGUGUUCUGAAACUAUUCACCAUAAUAUUCCAGCAGUUUGUGCUUGAUGUGGAGUUACUGGAUGGUUAAGUGUAGCCUUUGAGGGUUUUGUUCAGUUAUUCCUGAGUUUGGAAGAUAAAGAGUAGGUAGACCAAGACAAUGACUCAGAGAUGGAUUAGAAGAACAAACUGGAUUGCUAAAUCUUUGGGGGAAGAAGACUAUAUGUUCCUGGGCUUGUAUAGAAACCAGGAGACACAUGCCAUAAUUCUGGUGUAUGAAAUAAGAAGCGAGGUCUUCCCAGCCACUGCGUUGAACCAGACUGCCCAAACCCAGCAGCGUGUUUGUCUUGGAGCAAUGCAGGGCUCAAUACAAAUGUUACUUGACCUAGAAAAUGAGGGCUCACAAGGAAAAGGAGAAGCCUUUCAAUAUUUUGAUGAAUCUUGUGAAACGGAUGCAUUUCCUGGGAAGACUGUCAAAAGAGUAAAUUUCAGUGAUGGCUUGCCCCACUCCUACGAUUAUUCCUAUGGUCAAAAUAAUUGCCUGAUGUACAAAUAG